AGAGCGAACGCUGGCGGCAGGCCUAAUACAUGCAAGUCGAACGGACCCUUCGGGGUUAGUGGCGGACGGGUGAGUAACACGUGGGAACGUGCCCUUUGGUUCGGAACAACUCAGGGAAACUUGAUCUAAUACCGAAUGUGCCCCCAUCCUUAAACAAGAUGGGUGGGAAAGAUUUAUCGCCAUUGGAGCGGCCCGCGUCUGAUUAGCUAGUUGGUGAGGUAAAGGCUCACCAAGGCGACGAUCAGUAGCUGGUCUGAGAGGAUGAUCAGCCACACUGGGACUGAGACACGGCCCAGACUCCUACGGGAGGCAGCAGUAGGGAAUCUUGCGCAAUGGGCGAAAGCCUGACGCAGCCAUGCCGCGUGAAUGAUGAAGGUCUUAGGAUUGUAAAAUUCUUUCAGCGGGACGAUAAUGACGGUACCGCAGAAGAGCCCCGGCUAACUCGUGCCAGCAGCCGC
rnacentral:rRNA from 1 species